rnacentral:lncRNA from 1 species
UAAUGAUAAAGUUAUCUGUAAAUAAGUUUUAUGUUAAAUGUGAGUUAUUAUAAGUUUUAAAGAUAUUAGUUUUAAAAGUUAUUAAAAGGUUAAAUGUUUAAAAUAAGAACAUUACUGAAUUACGGAACUUAUCAUAUUUACUCCGGAAUAAGUUUUAUAAUUACUUAGUCCAUGGGAGAUAAUUUUGAGUGUAAAUUUAUAUCGCUAAAUAUUCUGAAGACGCACAAUCUUCAAAACCCUAAUUUUACUGAAUACUUAAAUAAGUUUGACUUGCAGAAAUUGCAGAAAUGUUUGAAGCCUGGAGACUGAGGUAUUCAUUAUGUAAUGUAGCUGUAUUGUGAUUUAAUAUGUUAAUAUUUUGAAUGCUUAGAAUUGAGGUUGAUUCAGAAAGUAAAAAUACAUAUCAUUACUUUUAUGUUAUUGGCAAGUCUUGCAUACAACAUUUUAAUUAUUAGAAAUAUAUUUAGUAAUGCAAUUAAAGAAAAUAUGCGAGUUAAGCUCUUGAGUUAGGUCCACCCCUUUUUAACAUGUUUAAUGAAAUAUAACUAUUGAAAUUUACAGAGUUAAUUCCCCUGUUGAGUUAUUCCCCUUUGAAAUAAGUUGUAUGUGAGACUGUAAAGGUUCAUCAUUGUUUAGUAAUUUAUUGAUGCAUGAUUUAUUUGUAAUUGAUUGUAACUGUUUAUUGAAUAUACAAUGUAGACUUGAUCUUUGGAACCUGAAAAUAAAACAUCAUUUUACAGAACUUCUGUCUAUUUUAGUAACUUGCAGAACAGAAAACAAAAACCCCCCUACAAUCAGCACAACAGUUUAUGGUGGAGGACCCGGGCCAAAAAUUAUGUAUUUGAAGUCUUCUGCAAUAGUUGUAUAUAAAAUCCCACAAAUUUCAAUAGAUUGCUCAGGAAAACAAAUUUUUCAUGAAGGUUGUGAUUUUUGCAUUAUGAAUAUUCCUUGUCAAUGUUCAAUUGCCACAAAAUUAUUAAGUUAUCCCCCCUCAAUAACUUCAUGCAAAAGGUCAAAUAAUAUUACAGUUGCCCAUCCAAUAAAUCUAGCAUUGCUACAACAAUUUUUUACUGCAAAACAAUUGAUAGAAAUUAAUGGUAGUUCUACAUUCGUAGAAAAGAUGAGUAUUAAUGUUCCAG